UAAGUGAAGAGUUUGAUCCUGGCUCAGAGUGAACGCUGGCGGUAGGCCUAACACAUGCAAGUCGAACGGCAGCACAGGAGAGCUUGCUCUCUGGGUGGCGAGUGGCGGACGGGUGAGGAAUACAUCGGAAUCUACUCUGUCGUGGGGGAUAACGUAGGGAAACUUACGCUAAUACCGCAUACGACCUACGGGUGAAAGCAGGGGAUCUUCGGACCUUGCGCGAUUGAAUGAGCCGAUGUCGGAUUAGCUAGUUGGCGGGGUAAAGGCCCACCAAGGCGACGAUCCGUAGCUGGUCUGAGAGGAUGAUCAGCCACACUGGAACUGAGACACGGUCCAGACUCCUACGGGAGGCAG
rnacentral:rRNA from 1 species